ACUUACCAAAGGUCCUCUCUAUCCGUCACUCCUCAAGAUCCCAUUUAAGUUCUGGCUAAUGUGUUAAGAACAACUUCCUGUUUGGCACCAGAUGCUGUCAUCUGCAGCGCAUGUUAGAAUCGAUUUUUUGCGAAAUUCAUUCCCACCGAACUCCAGCAAGAAGACGAACCCUAGAUUUCGAUUUUCCCUAAUUGCUUCCCUUCUAAUUUCAAAAAUCCCCACAUCAAGAAACCCCUAAUCGGACAUUCCUCCAUCUUUCCUCGUCAUCCCAUAAUCUAAACCCACAAAAAUGCGAAGGAGCAAAUCUGCCCGGUCAACCACUUUUGCGCAUGGUGAAGGUAAUCCCAUGUUGAAGGCUAUUAUAUGUGAUCUGAAGCAUCAUUUUUGAAGUUACUUUGAAAAAAAAAGUUUGAAUAAUGUACUUGUUGUCAUAUUAAUCAGCAAAAGAAUAGGCAUCGUGACAUUGUAUAAAACUAGUGCAGGCAUCCUAGUGGGAGAAUCAAAAACAAGAAAGGGAAUUUUAUCACCAUGGAAUUGGGAAACUGAAUUUUAAGUAUCAUGGCAGGGAAGAAUAGGGAUUGUAAGGCUUAAGAUCCAAUUCCUAUGGAAACCUGAAAGGGAGUCUAGUGGGGAAUGUAAAGCUAAAGAUCAGAUUCCAAAUUUGUCGUGUAUGUUGCAGCGAGUUGCUCAAAUAAUAGAAGAAAAAGAUGUAGAGAUAUCCAUCAACAAAAAUGUUCGAAAGGGAAAAAUAGCUACUAAGGAUAUUGGGAAAGGAAAGGAAAAAGUUUCAUGAAUAUGUUCCAAACAUGUGAACGAGUUGAAAAAUUUUGCUGCACUCGUUGAACUUCAUGUUUAUGUAAUAGGCAUUAAAGAUGGUGGCAAUUAUGUUUGUUGUAUGUUCGUUGGCGGCCUUCGAUUUAGUAGUUGAAUUUGCUUGUAAUGAAGCUUUUAUUUAUGUAAACAUUGUGCCAAAUGUGAUGUUGGAUUUGCUUGUAAGGAGUUUAACAAAUUAUCCAGUAACAAAAAGGAAACUUAAAUUAUGACAAAAGUAAACUUUUUUAUUCUAAA
rnacentral:lncRNA from 1 species